UUGUCCGUAAGUGAUUGAUUUUAGUUGCUUGGGGUGCAAGAGGUCCCGAGUUCAAAUCUCGGCGGCCCGACCA
rnacentral:tRNA from 1 species